rnacentral:rRNA from 1 species
ACGGGGGGGGCAAGCGUUGUCCGGAAUUAUUGGGCGUAAAGGGCGCGUAGGUGGGACAGCAAGUCUGGGGUGCAAUCUUACGGCUUAACUGUAAGCUUGCCCUGGAUACUGCUGUUCUUGAGUUCGGAAGAGGGUAGUGGAAUUCCUGGUGUAGCGGUGAAAUGCGUAGAUAUGAGGAGGAACACCGGGGGCGAAGGCGGCUACCUGGUCUGAAACUGACACUGAGGCGCGAAAGUGCAGGGAGCAAACAG